rnacentral:rRNA from 1 species
ACGGAAGGCAGCAGUAGGGAAUUUUCGGCAAUGGGCGAAAGCCUGACCGAGCAACGCCGCGUGAACGAAGAAGUAUUUCGGUAUGUAAAGUUCUUUUAUUAGGGAAGAAAAGACAGAUUGACUGUACCUAAUGAAUAAGCUCCGGCUAACUACGUGCCAGCAGCCGCGGUAAUACGUAGGGAGCGAGCGUUAUCCGGAAUUAUUGGGCGUAAAGGGUGCGCAGAUGGCACAUUAAGUUUCUUGUAAAAAUGCUGGGCUCAACCCAGUAGGGCAAGAGAUACUGAUGAGCUAGAGUACGACAGAGGCAAGUGGAACUCCAUGUGUAGCGGUAAAAUGCGUAAAUAUAUGGAAGAACACCAGUGGCGAAGGCGGCUUGCUAGGUCGAUACAGACAUUGAGGCACGAAAGCGUGGGGAGCAAACAGGAUUAGAUACCCUGGUA